rnacentral:tRNA from 1 species
CAAAUUAGAGCUUGAGGAGUAAAGCAUUUCAUUUACAUUGAAUGGUUGUCGUGCAAUUCGAUUUAAUUUGA